rnacentral:sRNA from 1 species
CACCUGGCACACCAUCUGCAUCUGCCGAGGAAAUCGACAUAAAGCCUGGCCUUCAACGACGAGGGCCAGGCUUCCCGAGAACGGGACCGGACAAAGGCGUCCUCACUGGGUAACAGUGGGACGCC